AACGCACCUUGCACCCUUUGGUAUUCCGAAGGGUAUGCCUGUUUGAGUGUCAUUAAAUUCUCAACUUCAUUUGUUGAAGCUUGGACUAUGGAGGUCAUUGCAGGCCGUUUAUUAUGGUCAGCUCCUCUCAAAUGCAUUAGCGGGAACUGUUUAAAGUGGGGACCAGCUUUGGUUUGAUAAUUGAAUAUCUAUGCCGUCGCUGAGGACCUUUGUUAAUGUUCAGCUUCUAAUGGUCCUUUUGGACUGUCUCUUUUUUGAGGCAUAUAUAUAUUUAAGCCUUGACCUCAAAUCAGGUAGGACUACCCGCUGAACUUAA
rnacentral:misc_RNA from 1 species